UACGUAGGGGGCUAGCGUUGUCCGGAAUCAUUGGGCGUAAAGAGCGUGUAGGCGGUCCGGUAAGUCCGCUGUGAAAGUCGGGGGCUCAACCCUCGAAUGCCGGUGGAUACUGUCGGGCUAGAGUGCGGAAGAGGCGAGUGGAAUUCCUGGUGUAGCGGUGAAUGCGCAGAUAUCAGGAGGAACACCGAUGGCGAAGGCAGGUCUCUGGGCCGCAACUGACGCUGAGGAGCGAAAGCAUGGGGAGCGAACAGG
rnacentral:rRNA from 1 species